AGUGAACGCUGGCGGUAGGCCUAACACAUGCAAGUCGAACGGCAGCACAGUAAGAGCUUGCUCUUACGGGUGGCGAGUGGCGGACGGGUGAGGAAUACAUCGGAAUCUACUUUUUCGUGGGGGAUAACGUAGGGAAACUUACGCUCAUACCGCAUACGCCCUACGGGUGAAAGCAGGGGAUCUUCGGACCUCGCGCGAAUGAAUGAGCCGAUGUCGGAUUAGCUAGUUGGCGGGGUAAAGGCCCACCAAGGCGACGAUCCGUAGCUGGUCUGAGAGGAUGAUCAGCGACACUGGAAGUGAGACACGGUCCAGACUCCUACGGGAGGCAGCAGUGGGGAAUAUUGGACAAUGGGCGCAAGCCUGAUCCAGCCAUACCGCGUGGGUGAAGAAGGCCUUCGGGUUGUAAAGCCCUUUUGUUGGGAAAGAAAAGCAGCAGGUUAAUACCCCGCUGUUCUGACGGUACCCAAAGAAUAAGCACCGGCUAACUUCGUG
rnacentral:rRNA from 1 species